CUACACAAAACAUUAGUUUCCAUUCAUACAAAGUAUCGGGUAAAUUGCCAAGGUAGAUUUGGCAUGGUAAUAGAGGAAAUAGUUUAUUUCUUUUGUAUGGAAUGCUUGUCAAAUAGAUAAAUCACCCUUAGUCUGUUCAAAAAGGACUAAGUUGUUGCGAUGACAACACCAACCAGAGGGCGAACAUAGCAUCUUUCAGGGAGCUGUAAUGAGGUGACCAAUAAUGGGUGCAAUUAAGAUCAGCUGUGCAGGUUCAUUUAGCAUGUAUCGGUGGUUUAACAAGACCAGCUGGCAAUAAUAAGGUUGCUACCUUUUGAGGCAGAAUUUCCAGGCAAGAUUUCCAAAUUGGCAUGUCCCAAUCCCAUGUAUCCAUCGCCGAGAGGCUAUUACAUAACACCUUGCAGCGCAGCAAAAAUAAUUGACGACGGACAGAAGUCCCCACUUGGGAGAACAUUUUCCAGAAAUCCACAAAAUAGACUAAAGUGGCACCUGAUCACGUUUCACUCCAUUGUAUUGGCUUGGCAGGAGAAAAACAGUCCUGUAUGACUCGUUUGAAAGUUGAAUGAUAUUCCACCCUGCAGAUGUAAGGAACUUAUUGUGAACCUCCCAGCCAACAGGAUAAUCAACAUAUCCCAGGAUAUUAUUUAGGAGUGUGCCAACCUCACAAUGUUAGAAAUAGAUUCACCCAUGAUAGUAUUUAUCAUGCAGAUUUGUCAGGACAUUGUAAUUCAUAAAGCUCAUUCUGAAAUA